rnacentral:tRNA from 1 species
ACCUGACUGGCUCAGUCAGUAGAGUGCGUGACUCUUGAUCUCGGAGUUGUGAGUUCAAGCCCCACAUUGGGUG